rnacentral:rRNA from 1 species
UACAGAGGGUGCUAGCGUUGUUCGGAAUCAUUGGGCGUAAAGGGCGCGUAGGCGGCUUUGUAAGUCCGUUGUGAAAUCCCUCGGCUCAACCGAGGAACUGCGACGGAUACUGCUUGGCUUGAGUCCCGGAGAGGGUAGCGGAAUUCCCAGUGUAGCGGUGAAAUGCGUAGAUAUUGGGAGGAACAUCGGUGGCGAAGGCGGCUACCUGGACGGGUACUGACGCUGAUGCGCGAAAGCUAGGGGAGCAAACAGG